rnacentral:rRNA from 1 species
UACGUAGGGCGCAAGCGUUAUCCGGAAUUAUUGGGCGUAAAGAGCUCGUAGGCGGUUUGUCGCGUCUGCUGUGAAAACCUAAGGCUCAACCUUGGGCUUGCAGUGGGUACGGGCAGACUAGAGUGCGGUAGGGGUGACUGGAAUUCCUGGUGUAGCGGUGGAAUGCGCAGAUAUCAGGAGGAACACCGGUGGCGAAGGCGGAUCUCUGGGCCGAUGACUGACGCUGAGGAGCGAAAGCGUGGGGAGCGAACAGG